GAUGAACGCUGGCGGCGUGCCUAAUACAUGCAAGUCGAGCGAACGGACGAGAAGCUUGCUUCUCUGAUGUUAGCGGCGGACGGGUGAGUAACACGUGGAUAACCUACCUAUAAGACUGGGAUAACUUCGGGAAACCGGAGCUAAUACCGGAUAAUAUUUUGAACCGCAUGGUUCAAAAGUGAAAGACGGUCUUGCUGUCACUUAUAGAUGGAUCCGCGCUGCAUUAGCUAGUUGGUAAGGUAACGGCUUACCAAGGCAACGAUGCAUAGCCGACCUGAGAGGGUGAUCGGCCACACUGGAACUGAGACACGGUCCAGACUCCUACGGGAGGCAGCAGUAGGGAAUCGUCCGCGAUGGGCGAAAGCCUGACGGAGCAACGCCGCGUGAGUGAUGAAGGUCUUCGGAUCGUAAAACUCUGUUAUUAGGGAAGAACAUAUGUGUAAGUAACUGUGCACAUCUUGACGGUACCUAAUCAGAAAGCCACGGCUAACUACGUG
rnacentral:rRNA from 1 species